AACGAACGCUGGCGGCAGGCCUAACACAUGCAAGUCGAGCGAACCCUUCGGGGUUAGCGGCGGACGGGUUAGUAACGCGUGGGAAUAUACCCUUUGGUACGGAAUAGCCUCGGGAAACUGAGAGUAAUACCGUAUGUGCCCUUCGGGGGAAAGGACUUAUCGCCAAAGGAUUAGCCCGCGUUGGAUUAGAUAGUUGGUGGGGUAAGUGGCCUACCAAGUCUACGAUCCAUAGCUGGUUUGAGAGGAUGAUCAGCAACACUGGGACUGAGACACGGCCCAGACUCCUACGGGAGGCAGCAGUGGGGAAUCUUAGACAAUGGGCGCAAGCCUGAUCUAGCCAUGCCGCGUGGACGAUGAAGGCCUUAGGGUUGUAAAGUCCUUUCAGAUGGGAAGAUAAUGACGGUACCAUCAGAAGAAGCCCCCGGCUAACUCCGUGCCAGCAGCCGCGGUAA
rnacentral:rRNA from 1 species